rnacentral:tRNA from 1 species
GCCCGGUUAGCUCAGUUGGUAGAGCGCAAGACUUUUAAUCUUGUGGUCGUGGGUUCAAGUCCCACAUCGGGUG